rnacentral:rRNA from 1 species
CAGUAGCCACGGGAAUACGAAGGGGGCUAGCGUUACUCGGAAUUACUGGGCGUAAAGGGCGCGUAGGCGGCACGAUUAGUCAGGCGUGAAAUUCCUGGGCUCAACCUGGGGACUGCGCUUGAUACGGUCGAGCUAGAGGAUGGAAGAGGGUUGUGGAAUUCCCAGUGUAGAGGUGAAAUUCGUAGAUAUUGGGAAGAACACCGGUGGCGAAGGCGGCAACCUGGUCCAUUACUGACGCUGAGGCGCGACAGCGUGGGGAGCAAACAGGAUUAGAUACCCGUGUAGUCCCUGUCUCUUAUAU